GGCAGGGGCCCCGCGCCCGGUGCCGGUAGUGACGGCCCUGCCCGCUCAGAACCCUUUGCUGUCCGUGCAGGCUCGCCCCGUCUCGCUGAAGGGAAGGUGUGAGAUGCCCGGCUGUCUCUGGGACGGACGAGAGCUCUCAACAGUUUUUUUCCAGUUUGAGGCAGCUGCAUCAUGAUGUGUUGGAUGAGUAAGUGGGCAAUGAGGGAGAAGUUCAGAAGGGGCUCUGCCUUUACUGCUCCCAUGAAGCCUGUGCCCAUGGAAACUACACAAUAGGAUUGAUCUCCUUUGCAUAAACUCCAGCAUGGCUGAAUCCAAGGAACAGUGGAGACCCAGGUGCUGAGGAAAAAGGAAGAGACUAAGAAAAGAGAUGGAAGAAUUUGUAAGCAAGAUUGCUUAUGUUGGAUUCUGGAUGAGCAGAAGAUCCAGUUUUCACUGCUGCUGGAAAUUUUUAAAUAGCAAGAAGAUAAAUCUGUGAAGAAGGAAACAUACAAAGCUACAAGAUGGAGGUUUAUGAGAAUCCCUGACAUUGCUUAGAAACACAAAGUUGGUCUUAGUGUAUCUAUUUGGUAAAUCCUCUAUUAGAAUUCUUGCUGUUCCUCAGAAAAUUCUGCAGACUUAUUUCUUAUUUCUUAUUUUGCAGACUUAUAAGCUGUAAACCAGCUUAUUUCCUUCAGUCCUAGUCUUAUGUUUGCAAGAAAAGCAUUUGGAAGCUUGAACUUAUGCUGAAUUGUCUUUCUAUUCCUUCAAAUUGUGGUCACAGAAGCUGGUUCUGAUGCUCAUUACAAGUUAAACCUGAUAUCUGAA